AUGCAGAGUUCUUUGAUGCAAUUGUGUUCUAAUGAUAUCAUUCCUGAACUCAAUCAGGCUCUGCUGAUAAAGGUGUCUGAUACUGUAUCGUUCUACUGAUAUCACUCUCAAACACAAUGAGGCUCUGCAAAGUUUGGGCACUUCAACUUUUCAGCAUCGGUUCUGUUGCCAAGCACAAACAAGGAAGAAACUUUUGCAUGACUUGCCUCGAAGGACACAACCAAGACAAGGCAACAAAAUCUCACCAAGGAAUGAUAAAGGCUGAAAGAAUAAGAGGAAGAAGAACUUUGCGCCAUCUUUUUUGUGAUCAGUCUUUACAACUUUCUGGUUGUGUUUCGUAAGGCUGUUUGAAAGUCUUUGCUCAUGAAAUUCUGAACCCCGUGUUCACUUUCUGGCAAAGAUCUUCAAUUAUUUUUAUAGAAGCCAUUGGUCAUCAUGGUCAAGGAAGAAGGAAAUGAAGCGGAAGAUGAAGAAGGUUUUAUUUGUGCAAUUUUGUUUAUUUCCUAGUUAGUAAUGCCAUAUGCCUCAACUGAGUUGACAACAAAAUGUGCUGAAAAUCUCAGAAAAUCGAAAGAGAAUGUAUUCCAAGUUCGAACACAACAGAAGGAUUGCAGCUACCCCUACUACCAGGACCUUAUGUGGACUCGGCUGCCGCCUCCUCUGUGGUAUAACUGAGUUUUGUACCGAUAAACUGUCAACGCUCCUUGCGAUAGCCUUCGAUGAUUGUGGUGUACACGAUCCCAUCUAGCGCCCAGCCUCUUUCUUCCAAAUUCGUCAGCAAUCGAACGGCUUUCCUAUUGUUGCCGGUUCUGCACAAUCCCCCACCAUGACUCCGCAUGUGGCUAUAUGUCCCCCGAUUUAUCUGGCAACCAUUACAUCUGCCAGGCUCAUGGCUUCGGCAAUUUAAUCCUCUCCGACAAGGCCAUUGAUCGAAGUGUUACAGCUCACGGAAGUGGGUUCAAGUGCAAGUUCGACCAUUUUACACAAAACUGAGAACCCGGGAUCGAAUCUUUUCAAUUGGCAGAGGUAAUUCAUCAAAAUGCUGCGAGUAAAAACAUUGGGAGUCGUUCCUUUCGAAUCCAUCCGCUCGAUCAUGUCAAUGGUGACAUUCGAGCGAAACAGGGAGGUGAAGGCAAAUGGUUCAUCCGAAUCGUCCUCUUCAAGUAGAACAAAGAAUCGGCAGCUUCCACCAAUGCACCAUUUUUGCAUUUGUUCGCCAGAAAGGCCACAGUUCGGAUCAUGCUUUGAAGAUCGGCGCCGUUCUGACAAUUCUGGAGUACAAUAUUAUUUUGUUUCCUUCCCUUCCACCGAUAAAAGGAGAAGACGUCUGGAGCUCGAGAUGCAGCAAAAGGAAAGAGCUCAAGAGAGAGCGAAAAGAAAGAGCUCGAGAGAGUGUGAGAGUCGAGAGAGCUCAGAGAGGCUUUGUGCUGAGUCGAGUCCAUUGAGUUGUUUUGUUAAACACCGUGGGUAUCGGGUAUAAGGGGCUGAGAAACACUUGAGUGCAUGUGUGAUUGUAAUUCUGUAAUUCUCCGAUUUAUAGUGGAUAUAUUUGCUGACU